GAAGUGCGAUAAGCAAUGCGAAUUGCAGAACCGUGAGUCAUCAGAUUUUUGAACGCAACUGGCGCUGGGUGGUUAUCCAACCAGCAUGCUUGUUUCAGUGUCUCUUUAUCCCCUCACCCAAAUCUUAAUGCGAGAGAUACCCUUCUCUCGUCAAGCACGAAAGCACUCUGCGCUCUGCGAGCGACUUUGACUAGUUCGAGGUCGCACUCAAUGCAGCGGUCACAUUGUUCACAAUGUGAACUCAUUGAGAGUAGAGGCAGUGCAGCCUUACAGCUGCCAGUGCUUAGUCAUUCAAACUUUCUAAGAAUCUGAAAUCAAGCAGGACAACCCGCUGAACUUAA
rnacentral:misc_RNA from 1 species